GACCCGUAAUCCGGGUUGCGGACAGUGUCUGGUGGGUAGUUUGACUGGGGCGGUCUCCUCCUAAAGAGUAACGGAGGAGCACGAAGGUUGGCUAAUCCUGGUCGGACAUCAGGAGGUUAGUGCAAUGGCAUAAGCCAGCUUGACUGCGAGCGUGACGGCGCGAGCAGGUGCGAAAGCAGGUCAUAGUGAUCCGGUGGUUCUGAAUGGAAGGGCCAUCGCUCAACGGAUAAAAGGUACUCCGGGGAUAACAGGCUGAUACCGCCCAAGAGUUCAUAUCGACGGCGGUGUUUGGCACCUCGAUGUCGGCUCAUCACAUCCUGGGGCUGAAGUAGGUCCCAAGGGUAUGGCUGUUCGCCAUUUAAAGUGGUACGCGAGCUGGGUUUAGAACGUCGUGAGACAGUUCGGUCCCUAUCUGCCGUGGGCGCUGGAGAACUGAGGGGGGCUGCUCCUAGUACGAGAGGACCGGAGUGGACGCAUCACUGGUGUUCGGGUUGUCAUGCCAAUGGCACUGCCCGGUAGCUAAAUGCGGAAGAGAUAAGUGCUGAAAGCAUCUAAGCACGAAACUUGCCCCGAGAUGAGUUC
rnacentral:rRNA from 1 species